UAUAUUCCUUCCGUAGGUCUGGUAAACGC
rnacentral:piRNA from 1 species